AGGUUCGAUCCUGGCUCAGGAUGAACGCUAGCUACAGGCUUAACACAUGCAAGUCGAGGGGCAGCAUGAUCAAAGCUUGCUUUGAUUGAUGGCGACCGGCGCACGGGUGCGUAACGCGUAUCCAACCUGCCAUGUACUCCGGGAUAGCCCUCUGAAAGGAGGAUUAAUACCGGAUGUGGUUGUUUGAGGACAUCCUCUUACAAUUAAAGAUUCAUCGGUACAUCGAUGGGGAUGCGUACGAUUAGUUAGUCGGCGGGGUAACGGCCCACCGAGACGACGAUCGUUAGGGGUUCUGAGAGGAAGGUCCCCCACAUAGGAACUGAGACACGGUCCUAACUCCUACGGGAGGCAGCAGUGAGGAAUAUUGGUCAAUGGGCGAGAGCCUGAACCAGCCAAAGUAGCGUGAAGGAUGACUGCCCUAUGGGUUGUAAACUUCUUUUAGGGGCGAAUAAAGUGCCGUACGCGUACGGUUUUGUAGGUAUCCCCUGAAUAAGCAUCGGCUAAUUCCGUGCCAGCCGCGGC
rnacentral:rRNA from 1 species